GACCCCAUACAGGUAGGAGAUAUAUAGACCCCAUACAGGUAGGAGAUAUAUAGACCCCAUACAGGUAGGAGAUAUAUAGACCCCAUACAGGUAGGAGAUAUAUAGACCCCAUACAGGUAGGAGAUAUAUAGACCCCAUACAGGUAGGAGAUAUAUAGACCCCAUACAGGUAGGAGAUAUAUAGACCCCAUACAGGUAGGAGAUAUAUAGACCCCAUACAGGUAGGAGAUAUAUAGACCCCAUACAGGUAGGAGAUAUAUAGACCCCAUACAGGUUGGAGAUAUAUAGACCCCAUACAGGUUGGAGAUAUAUAGACCCCAUACAGGUAGGAGAUAUAUAGACCCCAUACAGGUUGGAGAUAUAUAGACCCCAUACAGGUAGGAGAUAUAUUGACCCCAUACAGGUAGGAUA